rnacentral:rRNA from 1 species
UACGUAGGGGGCGAGCGUUAUCCGGAUUUACUGGGCAUAAAGAGCACGUAGGCGGUUUUUUAAGUCAGAUGUUAAAGCCUCUAGCUCAACUAGAGAUCGCAUCUGAUACUGAAAGACUAGAGAUCAGUAGAAGAAAGCGGAACUCACGGUGUAGCGGUGAAAUGCGUAGAUAUCGUGGGGAACACCAGUUGCGAAGGCGGCUUUCUAGACUGAAUCUGACGCUGAGGUGCGAAAGCGUGGGGAGCGAACG